UACAGAGGUCCCGAGCGUUGUUCGGAUUCACUGGGCGUAAAGGGCGCGUAGGUGGCAUGGUAAGUUUGAUGUGAAAGCUCAGGGCUCAACCCUGAAAUGGCAUUGAAUACUACUGUGCUGGAGGUUUGGAGGGGGGACUGGAAUUCUUGGUGUAGCAGUGAAAUGCGUAGAUAUCAAGAGGAACACCAGUGGCGAAGGCGAGUCCCUGGACAACACCUGACACUGAGGCACGAAAGCUAGGGGAGCAAACAGG
rnacentral:rRNA from 1 species